GCGGGAGUAGCUCAGUUGGUAGAGCACGACCUUGCCAAGGUUCGGGGGUCGGCGGGUUCAAGUCCCGUCUCCCGCUCCA
rnacentral:tRNA from 1 species